GAGCAUAUGAUGAAUAAAUAAUCAUUUUGGGCUGAUUGAAAUCAUGAAGUUCCAAAUUCGAGCUUUUUAAAACUGAUGCUCC